UUCCGGUUGAUCCUGCCGGACCUGACUGCUAUCGGAUUGGUACUAAGCCAUGCGAGUCAUUGUAGCAAUACAAGGCGGACGGCUCUGUAACACGUAGUCAACCUAACUCGUGGACGUGGAUAACCUCGGGAAACUGAGAAUAAACCACGAUAGACCAUAGUGCCUGGAAUGGCUUAUGGUCCAAACAGUUUACUGCCAUGGGAUGGGACUGCGGCCUAUCAGCUUGUUGGUGAGGUAAUGGCCCACCAAGGCGAUUACAGGUACGGGCUCUGAGAGGAGAAGCCCGGAGAUGGGUACUGAGACACGGACCCAGGCCCUAUGGGGCGCAGCAGGCGAGAAACCUUAGCAAUGUGCGAAAGCACGACUGGGUCAGUCCGAGUGAUUCCUGAUAAAGGAGUCUUUUGCUUGUCCUAAAAGCACAGGUGAAUAAGGGGUGGGCAAGUCUGGUGUCAGCCGCCGCGGUAAUACCAGCACCUCGAGUGGUCAGGACGUUUAUUGGGCCUAAAGCAUCCGUAGCCGGCUUUGCAAGUCUUCGGUUAAAUCCACCUGCUCAACAGAUGGGCUGCUGGAGAUACUACAAAGCUAGGGAGUGGGAGAGGCAGACGGUAUUCAGUGGGUAGGGGUAAAAUCCUCUGAUCCAUUGAGGACCACCAGUGGCGAAGGCGGUCUGCCAGAACACGUUCGACGGUGAGGGAUGAAAGCUGGGGGAGCAAACCGGAUUAGAUACCCGGGUAGUCCCAGCUGUAAACGAUGCAAACUCGGUGAUGCAUUGGCUUAUGGCCAAUGCAGUGCCGCAGGGAAGCCGUUAAGUUUGCCGCCUGGGAAGUACGGACGCAAGUCUGAAACUUAAAGGAAUUGGCGGGGGAGCACCACAAGGGGUGAAGCCUGCGGUUCAAUUGGAUUCAACGCCGGAA
rnacentral:rRNA from 1 species